rnacentral:rRNA from 1 species
GACGUAGGGCGCGAGCGUUGUCCGGAUUUAUUGGGCGUAAAGAGCUCGUAGGCGGCUUGUUGCGUCGACUGUGAAAACCCGCGGCUCAACCGCGUGGCUUGCAGUCGAUACGGGCAGGCUAGAAUUCGGUAGGGGAGACUGGAAUUCCUGGUGUAGCGGUGAAAUGCGCAGAUAUCAGGAGGAACACCGGUGGCGAAGGCGGGUCUCUGGACCGAUAUUGACGCUGAGGAGCGAAAGCGUGGGGAGCGAACAGG